UCUAAGGCAGCAGAAAACUUGUGCAUGUGUAUUUAUUUUUUUCUAACUAGCAUUUUUUUUCUAUUAUUUUUAUUUCCAACUGACUCGGUUUUAUUUUAAUCGAGAGCCCCUAGGACUAGUUGUAAUGAUAUGAAUGGUUAAAGCGGGAAGAGCUCAAGGCUCGAGAAUACUCUCUCCUCGGAAGAAAAUACCAGACAUCCCAGAGAAACAGCCGUGCAGAGCAGGAGCCAGACUUUGCCAGGUGUCAGGAAGAUGAGUCUUUAUUGAAGAGUAACCAGCGUUGCCACUCUCCAUAGGCCCUUUACCACCUUUGAAGGAGACUUUCUUGGUGCCUGCAAGAAUCUCAGGCUGGACCCAAGGGGUGCUCUGCACAGACUCCCUGGAAUGAACACUGCUCUGCAUCCCUUCAGGAUGUGCAGGUUCCUGCACUGGGCUGACUGAAGAUAUGCUAUCAG